GUGGGGAAUAUUGGACAAUGGGCGAAAGCCUGAUCCAGCCAUGCCGCGUGUGUGAAGAAGGUCUUCGGAUUGUAAAGCACUUUAAGUUGGGAGGAAGGGCAGUAAGUUAAUACCUUGCUGUUUUGACGUUACCGACAGAAUAAGCACCGGCUAACUUCGUGCCAGCAGCCGCGGUAAUACGAAGGGUGCAAGCGUUAAUCGGAAUUACUGGGCGUAAAGCGCGCGUAGGUGGUUUUGUAAGUUGGAGGUGAAAUCCCCGGGCUCAACCUGGGGACUGCCUCCAAAACUGCAUGACUAGAGUACGGUAGAGGGUAGUGGAAUUUCCUGUGUAGCGGUGAAAUGCGUAGAUAUAGGAAGGAACACCAGUGGCGAAGGCGACUACCUGGACUGAUACUGACACUGAGGUGCGAAAGCGUGGGGAGCAAACAGGAUUAGAUACCCGAGUAGUCC
rnacentral:rRNA from 1 species